ACACGUCUACAUUAGAUACCCCCUGUAGUCCCAGCCGUAAACUAUGCGCGUUAGGUGUAUCGGUGACCACGGGUCACCGAGGUGCCGAAGGGAAACCGUGAAACGUGCCGCCUGGGAAGUACGGUCGCAAGGCUGAAACUUAAAGGAAUUGGCGGGGAGCACCACAACAGGUGGAGCCUGCGGUUUAAUUGGACUCAACGCCGGGAAGCUCACCGGAUAGGACAGCAGAAUGAUUGCCGGGCUGAAGACCCUGCAUGACUAGCUG
rnacentral:rRNA from 1 species